UACGUAGGGCGCGAGCGUUGUCCGGAAUUAUUGGGCGUAAAGAGCUCGUAGGCGGCCUGUUGCGUCUGCUGUGAAAUCCCGGGGCUCAACCCCGGGCGUGCAGUGGAUACGGGCGGGCUAGAGGCAGGCAGGGGAGAACGGAAUUCCCGGUGUAGCGGUGAAAUGCGCAGAUAUCGGGAGGAACACCGGUGGCGAAGGCGGUUCUCUGGGCCUGUUCUGACGCUGAGGAGCGAAAGCAUGGGGAGCGAACAGG
rnacentral:rRNA from 1 species